rnacentral:lncRNA from 1 species
CUCAUUUUUUGUGUCGCUUCUCCUCCUUCCACAAUAAACUUAUCAUUAUGCAUCUGUGUUCUAUAGGUAUCUUGCAUAGUCGCAUUUGUCAUCUAUUCUUAUGACUAUUCAGUUUGGGUUAUUUUGUGAGAAAAACGAAAAUAAAGGUGUCCGGAUUUUGUUCCCGUCACCAGACCAAAUUAUAAGUCAUACAAGACUUCCGGUUUUAAACUUGCACAUAACUUUCAAUUAAUGGAAACACAAAACAUUUAUACAAAAAAA